CCAGUUCUGGCUGGGUCACCUUAGAGAGAGGCUGCCUUCCCUUCUGCUGCUGGGGCUCAUCUGUGUGAAGUCUGGGGCUGACUCUCACCACAGGAAAGACUGCCAGGGCAAAUGAGCACCUGUUAUUGCUCUUCAGCCCCACUCCACCCCUGGGCCCCCUUAGGGGGACCUUUCCUACACUCCCCACCCCCAAUCCUGACAGCUGGAGAUAGGAUCAAUCCUGAAUUGUCUCCGAAAAAAGCCAGUUUCUGCCAGACCCGCCUUGCUCCCAGUGCCACACACCCAGCCCUGAAGGGCUGUCCGCGAUAGGAGAGCAUCCCGGGACGUUGGCUGCCUACCUCGCCAUUGGCCUUGGAGGACCUGCGUGCCCCACUAAGUGCUGGCAGAGAAUGUUGGCCGACUUGGGGAAAGCUCUUCUAUUGCCUCCACACAGCCUCAGCGUGUCUCUGUCCAGAAGCCCUUGGUCCACAAAGCAGAUCUGGAUCAAGGGCUCACUCCACCAGUUACCGAGAAAGUUCUAGAUAGCCCCAUCCCUUCUACUGGUCAGAAUCAGAACCCGUUCUACCUAGCUCUGCAGAGCUCUAUGCCUCUCACCAAUGCCCAGAAACAACCAGAAUUGGAAGGCUCACCAGUGACCCUUAUCUGGAGGCUUGGAGAUAGAAGUUUCUGAUCUGGAUCUUGGUAUGGAGAUCUUCAGGCAUAGUGGCUAUGGAUUCCAGAAGAUUAAAUCUCCGAGUUCAAGGUCAUCCAGGAUUAAGGGUGUGGUGGAACACACCUUCAAUCUGGCUACACCUUCUGCUGGAGACAAUAUAAGGACAUUGGAAGACAGGAGUCUUGCUCUUGCUCCUUCGCCUGCUUGCUGUGUGAGACUGAGUGAGUAACUGCUAGAUCCUUGGACUUCCAUUCACAGCUACUACUGAACCAUUGUUGGGAAUUGGGCUGCAGACUGUAAGUCAUCAAUAAAUUCCUUUACUAUAUAGAGACUAUCCAUAAGUUCUGUGACUCUAGAGAAUCCUGACUAAUACAGAGGGGAAAGGGUUUAUUUCGUCUUAUGCUUUCAGGCCGUAAUUCAUCAUGGACGGAAGUCAGAGCAGGAACCUAGUGGUAGGAACUGAAGCAGAGACCAUAGAUGACUGUUGCUUGCCGACAUGUUCCUUGCUUUUACUCAGCUGACUUGCACAACACAGGACCACCUGCCCAGCGUACUACCACCUACAGUGGGGUAGGCUCUCCUCUAUCAAUUUAGCAGUCAAGAAACGCCCUACAGAGAUACCCACAGGAAAAUCUGAUGGCAUUGCUUCCUCAAUGGAUGUUCCGUCUUCCCAGGUGUGCCAAGGGGACAACCAAUUAGUCAUGAUAAAGGGCCUCUCUGCUAAAAACAACAAAUAAACAACAGUCUAAGAAUGUAUUUUUUCAUAUUCAGCCACCAAAACAUACAGAACCCACUACAGCUUUGGUCCAGGGGGAUAAAGCUACAUCCUGAGCUGAAAGCAGAACUUGGCAAUGUUGUUCGCCUGGUACUAGAUGUUCAGGCAUGGGACAAAGAAUGAAGGGCAUCAUGGAGGUUUACCCUAAGAUUCCAGAAGAUCCUCCCCGACCCCUGGGCUCAGGCAAUGCAUGGCAGUUCUGCAAGGAGGUCCUAAGUAUCCUCAGCAUUAAGCUGGAAACGUGAAGUCUAAAUUACAAUGGAGAGCGUAGGAUACUGGAGGUGCCCGGACAUGGGGCAUCCACCAAGGAAAGUUGCAGGCAUGAGAUGAACGAAGCCAACCCAGAAGAGAGGCUAUGUGUGUUGCAGGUAGCAGAGCUAAAGAGGCAGCCUACCUAAAUUAUUUGAAGCCCAGAUGACUUCAUCACAAGCCCCAAAUACUAGACAUAGAAUUUCGGGCUUUGGUAUCUGCCCUGAUGGAUUUUGGUUUUGCUUUGAUCUGAUCUUUCUUUGCCAUCCUUGAUUCCUUCCAUUUGGAAUGGAAAUUUUACUCUAUGCCAUUGUAUGUUGGAAAUAUGUGACUUGUACCAUUAUUGUUGUUGUUGAUGAUGUUGUUGUUGUUGUACAGAGGCUCACAGUUAAGGGACAACCUCAACUCUCAGAAAAGAUGUUGGGACUGUUAAAGACUAUGAGGACUUUUGAAGUUGGAAUAACUACGUUUUACAUCGUGAGAUGGUCGUGAGCUUUGGGGAACCAGAAGUAGAAUGCUGUGGUUUAAAUGUGAAACGUCCCUCACUGGUGCAUGUGCCUGAACACUCGGUCCUCAGCUGAUGGCAUUAUUUUGGAAGGCUAUAGGGCCUUCUGGAGGUAAAGCCCCACUACAGGAAGUGGAUCACUCAGGGUGGGCCUUGAGGUUUGAUAGCCUGACCUCAUUUCCUGUCCACUCUCCGCUUCCUGAUACUGUGGCUACAAGAUGACCAGCCACUCAUGUUCCUACCACCACCUUCCAUAAUGCACUAUAUCUCUUCUUAAACUAUAAGCCAACACAAACCCUUCCUGCCUAAAGUUGCUUCUUGCCAGGUAUUUGGUAGCAGUAAGAAACGUAAUAAUGGUGCGUCAUUGUACCUGAACUAGUAUCCUUUUUUUUUUUAAACUCCCAGCAACCAGCUUGCCAAUCUAUUAUUGAAGAGGGUGGAGGAGAUGACUUGGUGGACUAAGCACUUGCUAGGCAAGCAUGAGGACCUCAGUUCGAGUCCCCAGAACCCGUGUAAAGCCGGGUGCAACCGUAUGUAAUGGCGCACUCUUGCACCGAGACGGGGAGUGGAGACGGGGCAUCCCCAGAUGCAAGUCCGUCAACCCACUGUAUAAGUGACGGACAGUAAGGGGCACUGUCUCAAACAAGGUGGAAGAUGAGGACAGACAUCCAAGGUUAGACUGAGAUUUCCACACACACCACAACAUGGACGUGCCCCAAUCAUACAACAUAUAUUUACAUAUACUAAAAUACAACCUGCAGAGAGCCCCCUCAACAUGUGGAGUGGUCCAACACAGCGGCUCUUAGUGCCUGGUUUCUUUAGGUGAGACGACAUGGGAGCCAUGUUAACCGGUCCCACAAAACGAUUGCAAGCCAGGGAUCCAGAAUGCAAGAAGCUGGGGUCUGGAGAGAUGGUUCAACAGCUAAGAGCACUGGCUGCUCUUCCAAAGGCCCUGGGUUCAAUUCCCAGCACACACAUGGCUUUUCACAACUGUCUGUAACUUCAGUUUCUGAGAAUCUGACACCCUUUCACAAACACACAUGUAGGCAAAAACACCAAUGCACAUCAAAUAAAAAUAGAUUAUAUAAAAAAAGAUCAAAAUGUUAGAAACAAAACAUCAACAACAAAACCAAACUGAUUUAAAAAUAAAUUUUAAAAAAUGCAAGGAUUGUCCAGUUAGAAAUUCAGGACUUACAGUUAGGCUGGGUAAAGUGAUGCACGUCUGUGACUUCAGUGUCUCAGGAGAUUGAGGCAGGAAGAUUGAAAGACCAGUCAGGAGAUGGAGAGACAGCUCUGUUACUAGAGUGUUUGUUGUGUGGUAAUGAGAACCUCCUAUCUGAUUCCCAUCAAGAAAGAAAACAAACCAUGAGCAAUGGCCUGUGCCUAAAGUUCCACCCCUGGGGAAGCAGAGACUAACUAGCAAAUCCCUGGAGUUCAAUGGCCAACAGAGCAGAAGAGGGGAGCACCAGGCUCAGAGAGCGACCCUGCCUCAGGAAACAGAGUGGUGAGCAACUGAGGAAUACAGCAACUUAGAUCUCUCCCUUCUACGUGCACAUGCACACGCAUACACACGCAUGCACAUAUGCAUGCGCACGCACACAGAGUUCACAGUCAGCCACGGUGACACUGUCUCAGAAAUAAGCAAGCAGCUUCUGGUUUGGAGCAGCUGCUAGUGCCCUGCACAGAGAUUGAGAAGUGAACUUGUACUUCACAGAGUCAGAUGGCAUGCCAAGCCAGCGCGGGGGACAGAAUGUCCUUAAUUCUAGCCUUUGCGGAAACACUGCUCAUAUUUUGUUACUGGACAUUAGAAGCCAGCUGAGGCUGGAGAUGGGGCUCAGUGGAGCAGCACGUGCUUGGCAUGCACAAGUUUGGCUUCUAGCCCUGGGA
rnacentral:lncRNA from 1 species